GACGAACGCUGGCGGCGUGCUUAACACAUGCAAGUCGAACGGAAAGGCCCCUUUGGGGGUACUCGAGUGGCGCACGGGUGAGUAACACGUGAGUAACCUGCCCUUGACUUCGGGAUAACUUCAGGAAACUGGGGCUAAUACCGGAUAGGAAUCCUUGCUGCAUGGUGGGGGUUGGAAAGCUUCGGCGGUUUUGGAUGGACUCACGGCUUAUCAGCUUGUUGGUGGGGUAGUGGCUUACCAAGGCUUUGACGGGUAGCCGGCCUGAGAGGGCGACCGGCCACAUUGGGACUGAGAUACGGCCCAGACUCCUACGGGAGGCAGCAGUGGGGAAUAUUGCACAAUGGGCGGAAGCCUGAUGCAGCAACGCCGCGUGCGGGAUGACGGACUUCGGGUUGUAAACCGCUUUCAGCAGGGGCGAAGCUUGUGGUGACGGUACCUGCAGAAGAAGCACCGGCUAACUACGUG
rnacentral:rRNA from 1 species